GUCUCAGGCCGUAUCAGCCUGAAGGCGCCCGAUCUCGUCUGAUCUCGGAAGCUAAGCAGGGUCGGGCCUGGUUAGGAUCUUGGAUGGGAGACCACCUGGGAAUCCCGGGUGCUGGAGGCU
rnacentral:rRNA from 1 species